UACGAAGGGGGCUAGCGUUGUUCGGAUUUACUGGGCGUAAAGCGCACGUAGGCGGAUCGUUAAGUCGGGGGUGAAAUCCUGGAGCUCAACUCCAGAACUGCCUUCGAUACUGGCGAUCUUGAGUCCGGAAGAGGUGAGUGGAACUCCUAGUGUAGAGGUGGAAUUCGUAGAUAUUAGGAAGAGCACCAGUGGCGAAGGCGGCUCACUGGUCCGGUACUGACGCUGAGGUGCGAAAGCGUGGGGAGCAAACGGG
rnacentral:rRNA from 1 species